rnacentral:rRNA from 1 species
UACGUAGGUGGCGAGCGUUAUCCGGAAUUACUGGGCGUAAAGCGUGCGUAGGCGGUUUAGUGUGUGGGAAUUGAAAGCCCGGGGCUCAACUCCGGAUCCGGUUCCCAAACUGCUAGACUCGAGCGUAUCAGAGGACAGUGGAAUUCCCGGUGUAGCGGUAAUAUGCGUAGAUAUCGGGAGGAACACCGGUGGCGAAGGCGACUGUCUGGGGUAUUACUGACGCUGAGGCGCGAAAGCCAGGGGAGCAAACGGG